rnacentral:rRNA from 1 species
UGGGGAAUUUUGCACAAUGGGGGAAACCCUGAUGCAGCGACGCCGCGUGAUUUAGAAGGCCUUCGGGUUGUAAAAAUCUUUUCUAUGGGAAGAAAAUGACAGUACCAGAGGAAUAAGGACCGGCUAAUUACGUGCCAGCAGCCGCGGUAAUACGUAAGGUCCGAGCGUUGUCCGGAAUCAUUGGGCGUAAAGGGUACGUAGGCGGGUAAGCAAGUUAGAAGUGAAAUCCUAUAGCUCAACUAUAGUAAGCUUUUAAAACUGCUCAUCUUGAGGUAUGGAAGGGAAAGUGGAAUUCAUAGUGUAGCGGUGAAAUGCGCAGAUAUUAGGAGGGAUACCGGUGGCGAAGGCGACUUUCUGGCCAUAACCUGACGCUGAGGUACGAAAGCGUGGGUAGCAAACAGG